UACACUCCUACGGGAGGCAGCAGUGGGGAAUAUUGCACAAUGGGCGCAAGCCUGAUGCAGCCAUGCCGCGUGUAUGAAGAAGGCCUUCGGGUUGUAAAGUACUUUCAGCGGGGAGGAAGGCGAUAAGGUUAAUAACCUUGUUGAUUGACGUUACCCGCAGAAGAAGCACCGGCUAACGCCGUGCCAGCAGCCGCGGUAAUACGGAGGGUGCAAGCGUUAAUCGGAAUUACUGGGCGUAAAGCGCACGCAGGCGGUCUGUCAAGUCGGAUGUGAAAUCCCCGGGCUCAACCUGGGAACUGCAUUCGAAACUGGCAGGCUAGAGUCUUGUAGAGGGGGGUAGAAUUCCAGGUGUAGCGGUGAAAUGCGUAGAGAUCUGGAGGAAUACCGGUGGCGAAGGCGGCCCCCUGGACAAAGACUGACGCUCAGGUGCGAAAGCGUGGGGAGCAAACAGGAUUAGAUACCCCAGUAGUCCCAUGA
rnacentral:rRNA from 1 species